rnacentral:rRNA from 1 species
UUGAACGCUGGCGGCAUGCCUUACACAUGCAAGUCGAACGGCAGCACGGGGCAACCUGGUGGCGAGUGGCGAACGGGUGAGUAAUAUAUCGGAACAUACCCUAGAGUGGGGGAUAACGUAGCGAAAGUUACGCUAAUACCGCAUACGAACUAAGGUUGAAAGUGGGGGAUCGCAAGACCUCAUGCUCAUGGAGUGGCCGAUAUCUGAUUAGCUAGUUGGUAGGGUAAAAGCCUACCAAGGCGACGAUCAGUAGCUGGUUUGAGAGAACGACCAGCCACACUGGAACUGAGACACGGUCCAGACUCCUACGGGAGGCAGCAGUGGGGAAUUUUGGACAAUGGGCGCAAGCCUGAUCCAGCAAUGCCGCGUGAGUGAAGAAGGCCUUCGGGUUGUAAAGCUCUUUUGUCAGGGAAGAAAAGGUAUCUCCUAAUACGGGGUGCUCAUGACGGUACCUGAAGAAUAAGCACCGGCUAACUACGU